AAGGAUUGAUAGUUUUAGUAAGACCAACUGAUAGAUCUUUCUAAACAUCGAACUGCUGUUACUGAAGCUAAGAGAACAAGCUCCUAAAUAUCAGUGUAAGCCAGGAACACUGACACGUUUUCUAGGAGCAAGGAGUAGAUUGGUCUCAUUUCUGAGGCCAUUGGUCAGCCUGGGACGGACGCGGGAUGGCCAGGAACGUGCCCUGCGGGACCGGGAAGGCUGCGCGAGGCGAGUCCCACCAGCUUAAGGCUUGUGCUGCAGCAUCCAAUAUGCUAGAUGACUGCUACCCUGCACCCGAUGUUGCAGUUAUUACUGCUGGAGUAUACUCUUGGGACAAGCCACUGAAGGAAGCCCUACCACAAAUAGGAGUGUAGUCUCCUCUCAGCAGUGGGAUGAGUCAAGACAGCACACAGGAACCCAGAGAAUAUCUGAAGGAAGUCCUGAUCUCCUCACUCUUUUUCAUCUGGUGGAAGUCCUUUAACUCUGAAACCUUUAAAGCCACUGGAGGAUGAGAGUCAGGUGGCACAGCAAUGAAAACUUUUGUUGCCCACACUGCCCCACUGUUGCGGUGAAAUUGAAGUGAAGAGGACCUUGAAGCCUUUCUUGCUGUCAAAUGUCCAGGACAACAGGGAGGAGAUUCCUGCUAUUAGACUGAGAUGGAGAUGUCAUAGUCAUCACUAGAAGAUCCUCUAAAGCAUGUUACCACAUUAAUAUAGGUGAAAGAUGAGAAAACUUCCUAGAGGACAGCUUAGUCUGUGGAGAAAUGGAGAACUCCACUCACCUACUUCAUAAAGAAGAUUUUUAAGUAAACAUUCCUUGUUAGAAUUCUUCCUGUUAAAAAGCUGUGAAGUCAUAAAAUUUUACUGAACAAUGGUUUUCCAUCAAAAAGGAC
ensembl:lncRNA